UUCAACGGAGAGUUUGAUUCUGGCUCAGGACGAACGCUGGCGGCGUGCUUAACACAUGCAAGUCGAACGAUGAAGCCUAGCUUGCUAGGUGGAUUAGUGGCGAACGGGUGAGUAAUACGUGAGUAACCUACCUUUAACUCUGGGAUAAGCCUGGGAAACUGGGUCUAAUACCGGAUACGACCAAUCUCCGCAUGGGGUGUUGGUGGAAAGCGUUAUGUAGUGGUUAUAGAUGGGCUCACGGCCUAUCAGCUUGUUGGUGAGGUAACGGCUCACCAAGGCGACGACGGGUAGCCGGCCUGAGAG
rnacentral:rRNA from 1 species